UUUCCCCCUCCUUAAUGGC
rnacentral:tRNA from 1 species